GAUGAACGCUAGCGGCAGGCCUAACACAUGCAAGUCGAGGGGCAUCGGGAUUGAAGCUUGCUUCAAUUGCCGGCGACCGGCGCACGGGUGCGUAACGCGUAUGUAACCUACCUAUAACAGGGGCAUAACACUGAGAAAUUGGUACUAAUUCCCCAUAAUAUUCGGAGAGGCAUCUCUCCGGGUUGAAAACUCCGGUGGUUAUAGAUGGACACGCGUUGUAUUAGCUAGUUGGUGAGGUAACGGCUCACCAAGGCAACGAUACAUAGGGGGACUGAGAGGUUAACCCCCCACACUGGUACUGAGACACGGACCAGACUCCUACGGGAGGCAGCAGUGAGGAAUAUUGGUCAAUGGACGCAAGUCUGAACCAGCCAUGCCGCGUGCAGGAAGACGGCUCUAUGAGUUGUAAACUGCUUUUGUACGAGGGUAAACUCACCUACGUGUAGGUGACUGAAAGUAUCGUACGAAUAAGGAUCGGCUAACUCCGUGCCAGCAGCCGCGGUAAUACGGAGGAUUCAAGCGUUAUCCGGAUUUAUUGGGUUUAAAGGGUGCGUAGGCGGUUUGAUAAGUUAGAGGUGAAAUCCCGGGGCUUAACUCCGGAACUGCCUCUAAUACUGUUAGACUAGAGAGUAGUUGCGGUAGGCGGAAUGUAUGGUGUAGCGGUGAAAUGCUUAGAGAUCAUACAGAACACCGAUUGCGAAG
rnacentral:rRNA from 1 species